GUGAGGAAUAUUGGUCAAUGGGCGAAAGCCUGAACCAGCCAUGUCGCGUGAAGGAUGAAGGUCCUAUGGAUUGUAAACUUCUUUUGCAGGAGGGUAAAGUGAGCUACGUGUAGUUCAUUGCAAGUACCCUGCGAAUAAGCAUCGGCUAACUCCGUGCCAGCAGCCGCGGUAAUACGGAGGAUGCGAGCGUUAUCCGGAUUUAUUGGGUUUAAAGGGUGCGUAGGCGGACUAAUUAGUCAGUGGUGAAAUUUUGCGGCUCAACCGUAAAACUGCCGUUGAAACUGGUAGUCUUGAGUGCGGUAGAGGUAGGCGGAAUGUGUGGUGUAGCGGUGAAAUGCUUAGAUAUCACACAGAACACCGAUUGCGUAGGCAGCUUACGGGAGCGCAACUGACGCUGAGGCACGAAAGCGUGGGGAUCGAACAGGAUUAGAAACCCCUGUAGUCC
rnacentral:rRNA from 1 species